rnacentral:rRNA from 1 species
CACGUGGUAUCCUGUCUGAAUAUGGGGGGACCAUCCUCCAAGGCUAAAUACUCCUGACUGACCGAUAGUGAACCAGUACCGUGAGGGAAAGGCGAAAAGAACCCCGGCGAGGGGAGUGAAAAAGAACCUGAAACCGUGUACGUACAAGCAGUGGGAGCCUCUUUAUGGGGUGACUGCGUACCUUUUGUAUAAUGGGUCAGCGACUUAUAUUCUGUAGCAAGGUUAACCGAAUAGGGGAGCCGAAGGGAAACCGAGUCUUAACUGGGCGUUAAGUUGCAGGGUAUAGACCCGAAACCCGGUGAUCUAGCCAUGGGCAGGUUGAAGGUUGGGUAACACUAACUGGAGGACCGAACCGACUAAUGUUGAAAAAUUAGCGGAUGACUUGUGGCUGGGGGUGAAAGGCCAAUCAAACCGGGAGAUAGCUGGUUCUCCCCGAAAGCUAUUUAGGUAGCGCCUCGUGAAUUCAUCUCCGGGGGUAGAGCACUGUUUCGGCAAGGGGGUCAUCCCGACUUACCAACCCGAUGCAAACUGCGAAUACCGGAGAAUGUUAUCACGGGAGACACACGGCGGGUGCUAACGUCCGUCGUGAAGAGGGAAACAACCCAGACCGCCAGCUAAGGUCCCAAAGUCAUGGUUAAGUGGGAAACGAUGUGGGAAGGCCCAGACAGCCAGGAUGUUGGCUUAGAAGCAGCCAUCAUUUAAAGAAAGCGUAAUAGCUCACUGGUCGAGUCGGCCUGCGCGGAAGAUGUAACGGGGCUAAACCAUGCACCGAAGCUGCGGCAGCGACACUAUGUGUUGUUGGGUAGGGGAGCGUUCUGUAAGCCUGUGAAGGUGGCCUGUGAGGGUUGCUGGAGGUAUCAGAAGUGCGAAUGCUGACAUAAGUAACGAUAAAGCGGGUGAAAAGCCCGCUCGCCGGAAGACCAAGGGUUCCUGUCCAACGUUAAUCGGGGCAGGGUGAGUCGACCCCUAAGGCGAGGCCGAAAGGCGUAGUCGAUGGGAAACAGGUUAAUAUUCCUGUACUUGGUGUUACUGCGAAGGGGGGACGGAGAAGGCUAUGUUGGCCGGGCGACGGUUGUCCCGGUU